rnacentral:misc_RNA from 1 species
GAUGAAGAACGUAGCGAAAUGCGAUAAGUAGUGUGAAUUGCAGAAUUCAGUGAAUCAUCGAAUCUUUGAACGCACAUUGCGCCCCUUGGUAUUCCAUGGGGCAUGCCUGUUCGAGCGUCAUUUGUACCUUCAAGCUCUGCUUGGUGUUGGGUGUUUGUCCCGCCUCUGCGUGUAGACUCGCCUCAAAACAAUUGGCAGCCGGCGUAUUGAUUUCGGAGCGCAGUACAUCUCGCGCCUUGCACUCAUAACGACGACGUCCAAAAGUACAUUUUUACACUCUUGACCUCGGAUCAGGUAGGGAUACCCGCUGAACUUAAGCAUAUCAAUAAGCGGAGGA